AAUCAGAACCCCCCAAAAGUGUUAUAAUGGUAGAGGGAAAUUGGUUAUUGUUGCUCUGUGCUUACGGUAAAUGGAUAUGAAUAUGAGACAAAAGUACAGUCAGCAUUUAAUAUCAUGGUAUGUGUGUUACCAUUUCACAGAAACUGCUGUCUUUGCGUUGAGUCCCCCUUAUUUCAGCUUUGUAAAAGUAAAAAAAAAAAUUAAAAUUAAAAAGCAGAAGUUCUUUCCUCCACACUUUCAGCUUUCCAUUGCUUUGGUUUUUAUUUUUUUAUUUUUUUUUGUCUCAUCUGUUCAUGAAACUGCUUCCAAACUCUUCAGGCUUGUCUUUGUAUUUUUUGGCAAAUUCUAAUCUGGCCUUUUGAUUCUUGAUGUUGAUGUGAGGUUUUGCACUUUGCUGUUUCGCCUCUAUAAUUCUGCUCUCAGAGUCUUCUGCAUUUGGCGGCUUGCUAUGUUUUUACCCCUGCCCUCUGGAGACCGCUGGUGACAUCACUGACCGUAGUUUUAGGGUUCUCCGUCACAACUCUUCACAGGAUUCGUCUGUCAUCAACUGCAGUCCAACUCAAACAGUUACUUAGAGUUGUAUGUAGCCUACACAACUCACAUACAAGUUUGAAUAGUUUAUUAUCUGUUUGGCACUGUGAGUGCCUGUGGGUUUUCUGGCUUCUAUUGUUGGUGGCUAUUUGUCAGUAGACAGGAAAGGUAAGAGUGAUCUUCUGCAGAUAUAUAUUUAAAUUGAGUUGAUUUUAGUUACAGGAAAGCGGAAGGUAAAGCAGUGAUGAAGUAGAAGUGUGGGAGCUUCUUGAAGAAUUUUUUUUACAACUUGCUGUCCACACAAGCAGAUAAGAAAAGAAUGCAUUUGAGGUGCUGUACAGUAUAUACAAUAGCCCAGGGGUUUCUUUUUUAUCGCUCUUUUGAUCACUGAAGUUGAAGCACUAAACUUCCUCUUGAAUCAUGCAGACAAACAGAGGGGUCACAUUGAUCUUGCUGAGUCUAAUGACAAGACUGGGGAGCCCAAAGGAUGUACUGACUCUGCAGCCUAACUGGCCCCUGUUCUUCACUGGAGAGACCGUCACUCUCUCGUGCUCGGGACAGCCAUUCAAACAUCUUGGAUUCACGUGGUACAGAUAUGAAUCAGAUAGUUUUGUGUUAAAGCACAGAUCCCAAGAAAACUACUACACCAUCGCACCUGUCACUGAAGCCCACAGUGGUGAAUACACGUGUUCUGGUGAAUCCAGCAGUGAUCCUGUCAGACUGAACG